rnacentral:rRNA from 1 species
UACGAAGGGGGCUAGCGUUGCUCGGAAUCACUGGGCGUAAAGGGCGCGUAGGCGGCUUGCCAAGUCGGGGGUGAAAGCCCGUGGCUCAACCACGGAAUGGCCUUCGAUACUGGCAGGCUUGAGACCGGAAGAGGACAGCGGAACUGCGAGUGUAGAGGUGAAAUUCGUAGAUAUUCGCAAGAACACCAGUGGCGAAGGCGGCUGUCUGGUCCGGUUCUGACGCUGAGGCGCGAAAGCGUGGGGAGCCAAACAGGAUUAGAUANCCCUGUAGUCAAGGGCG